rnacentral:rRNA from 1 species
ACGGGAGACAGAGCACCGGGUGCUAACGUCCGGACUCAAGAGGGAAACAACCCAGACCGCCGGCUAAGGUCCCUAAUAUUGACUAAGUGGAAAACGAAGUGGAAAGGCUAAGACAGUCAGGAAGUUGGCUUAGAAGCAGCCAUCCUUCAAAGAAAGCGUAAUAGCUCACUGAUCGAGUCUUUCUGCGCGGAAGAUGUAACGGGGCUAAGUCAAUAACCGAAGCCGCGGAUUCACACUUGUGUGUGAGUGGUAGGGGAGCGUUCUGUAAGCCUGCGAAGGUGACUCGUAAGGGUUGCUGGAGGUAUCAGAAGUGCGAAUGCUGACAUGAGUAACGUUAAAGCGGGUGAAAAGCCCGCUCGCCGUAAGCCCAAGGUUUCCUGCUCUACGUUCAUCGGAGCAGGGUGAGUCGGCCCCUAAGGUGAGGCUGAGAAGCGUAACUGAUGGGAACAAGGUUAAUAUUCCUUGACCACCGCUGAAUGCGAAGGGGGGACGGAGUAUUGAAGAUCAUCCGGGUGUUGGAUAUCCCGGUUUGCGAGCGUAGGAGGCUGACAGGCAAAUCCGUCAGCGAAUCUCCGAGGCAAAGCAUCGAGCUCUCUUUUGAGCGAAGUGAUUGGAUGUGCUUCCAGGAAAAGCCUCUAAGCUCCAGUUCAGCGGGACCGUACCGCAAACCGACACUGGUGGGCGAGCUGAAUAUGCUCAGGCGCUUGAGAGAACUCAGGAGAAGGAACUCGGCAAAUUGACACCGUAACUUCGGGAUAAGGUGUGCCUUUGUAGCGUGGAGGGAGAAACACCCCGAGCGCGAAGAGGUCUCAGAUAAUCGGUGGCUGCGACUGUUUAUUAAAAACACAGCACUCUGCAAAGACGAAAGUCGACGUAUAGGGUGUGAUGCCUGCCCGGUGCUGGAAGAUUAAUUGAUGGGGUGCAAGCUCCUGAUCGAAGUCCCAGUAAACGGCGGCCGUAACUAUAACGGUCCUAAGGGAGCGAAAUUCCUUGUCGGGCAAGUUCCGACCUGCACGAAUGGCAUAACGAUGGCCACACUGUCUCCUCCUGAGACUCAGUGAAGUUGAAGUGUUUGUGAUGAUGCAAUCUCCCCGCGGCUAGACGGAAAGACCCCAUGAACCUUUACUGUAGCUUUGCAUUGGACUUUGAACCGAUCUGUGUAGGAUAGGCGGGAGCCUGUGAAACCACAACGCCAGUUGUGGCGGAGGCGUCCUUGAAAUACCGCCCUGAUUUGUUUGAGGUUCUAACCUGGGACAGUUAUCCUGUCCGGGGACCGUGCAUGGUAGGCAGUUUGACUGGGGCGGUCUCCUCCUAAAGGGUAACGGAGGAGUGCGAAGGUACGCUAGGUACGGUCGGAAAUCGUGCUGAUAGUGCAAUGGCAAAAGCGUGCUUGACUGCGAGACCCACAAGUCGAGCAGAUACGAAAGUAGGUCAUAGUGAUCCGGUGGCUCUGUAUGGAAGGGCCAUCGCUCAACGGAUAAAAGGUACUCUGGGGAUAACAGGCUGAUACCGCCCAAGAGUUCAUAUCGACGGCGGUGUUUGGCACCUCGAUGUCGGCUCAUCUCAUCCUGGGGCUGUAGCCGGUCCCAAGGGUAUGGCUGUUCGCCAUUUAAAGAGGUACGUGAGCUGGGUUUAAAACGUCGUGAGACAGUUUUGUCCCUAUCUGCCGUGGGCGCUGGAAGAUUGACGGGGGCUGCUCCUAGUACGAGAGGACCGGAGUGGACUCACCUCUGGUGUACCGGUUGUCACGCCAGUGGCAUCGCCGGGUAGCUAUGUGGGGAAGAGAUAACCGCUGAAAGCAUCUAAGCGGGAAACUUGCCUGAAGAUAAGUCUUCCUGGAGGCUAGACCUCCCUAAAGAGUCGUUCGAGACCAGGACGUUGAUAGGAUGGGUGUGUAAGUGCUGUGAGGCACUCAGCUAACCAUUACUAAUUGCUCGUGAAGCUUGAUCC